UUUAAGAGCACUCUACUAGUAGGGAAGGAUCCCUUUCUGGAGAUCCCUCCUUUGGAGUUUGGCAGUGAGUGUAGGAUAAGGGUGGAAAACUCUUUCAGCCUUAUCCUCGGAUGCACAACUCAGACACACCAUGAACAGUUCUGGAACUGGAUUUCUUGGACAGAUCCCUUGACCUUUCUUCUCUUAAUAGUGAAACUACCUGCUUAACUUGGGUACCAUACAUUACAGGGAUAUCUCUCCCGCAUUUCUGUCAGGAUUUACUUCCAUAGGGUGAACUCCCUAUUAGGUCUUUGGUUAAUUGCAACAUCAGUAGCUUGAUCUCUGGUGUGAGAUCCCAACUGAUGGGCUUUGUUGUUAUCCAGACACACAACUGGUGCCAGCCAGAUUCCCAGUACUGAGAUAACCAAGCUAUUAGGCUUUCACCUUCAUGUUGACUAUAAUAUUUCCCCACACCUUGAAUGUUGCUCAGGUUGAAUAAAUCUGAGUGAGUAAUAAACACACCAUCAUAACAGUGGUUGUUGAGGUUAUGUCCACACUACUUUACAAUUCAAUUAGCAAAAAUGUCAUCCAGCCUGAAGCCUAUUUCAAAGAUAAAUUAAAGCUUACCUAAUCUGGAAGAAAAACUGUCAUGCAAUUCAUGAUGCUUAAGAAAGAAGAACAUGAAACAAGUGAUGUUUUGGGAUCUAUUUCUACAUGUACUGGAUAAUGAAUCUAUUUUAGUAGAAUUCCAUAGAGUUUCCAUGUAACUUUUUCCUCUAGCUGCUUGAUUCAUAUCUCACU